rnacentral:rRNA from 1 species
AGUGAACGCUGGCGGUAGGCCUAACACAUGCAAGUCGAACGGCAGCACAGUAAGAGCUUGCUCUUACGGGUGGCGAGUGGCGGACGGGUGAGGAAUACAUCGGAAUCUACUUUUUCGUGGGGGAUAACGUAGGGAAACUUACGCUAAUACCGCAUACGACCUACGGGUGAAAGCAGUGGAUCUUCGGACCUUGCGCGAUUGAAUGAGCCGAUGUCGGAUUAGCUAGUUGGCGGGGUAAAGGCCCACCAAGGCGACGAUCCGUAGCUGGUCUGAGAGGAUGAUCAGCCACACUGGAACUGAGACACGAUCCAGACUCCUACGGGAGGCAGCAGUGGGGAAUAUUGGACAAUGGGCGCAAGCCUGAGCCAGCCAUACCGCGUGGGUGAAGAAGGCCUUCGGGUUGUAAAGCCCUUUUGUUGGGAAAGAAAAGCAGCAGGUUAAUACCCCGCUGUUCUGACGGUACCCAAAGAAUAAGCACCGGCUAACUUCGU